CGGAGCAACGCCGCGUGAGUGAUGAAGGUUUUCGGAUCGUAAAGCUCUGUUGUUAGGGAAGAACAAGUGCAAGAGUAACUGCUUGCACCUUGACGGUACCUAACCAGAAAGCCACGGCUAACUACGUGCCAGCAGCCGCGGUAAUACGUAGGUGGCAAGCGUUGUCCGGAAUUAUUGGGCGUAAAGGGCUCGCAGGCGGUUUCUUAAGUCUGAUGUGAAAGCCCCCGGCUCAACCGGGGAGGGUCAUUGGAAACUGGGAAACUUGAGUGCAGAAGAGGAGAGUGGAAUUCCACGUGUAGCGGUGAAAUGCGUAGAGAUGUGGAGGAACACCAGUGGCGAAGGCGACUCUCUGGUCUGUAACUGACGCUGAGGAGCGAAAGCGUGGGGAGCGAACAGGAUUAGAUACCCUGGUAGUCCACGCCGUAAACGAUGAGUGCUAAGUGUUAGGGGGUUUCCGCCCCUUAGUGCUGCAGCUAACGCAUUAAGCACUCCGCCUGGGGAGUACGGUCGCAAGACUGAAACUCAAAGGAAUUGACGGGGGCCCGCACAAGCGGUGGAGCAUGUGGUUUAAUUCGAAGCAACGCGAAGAACCUUACCAGGUCUUGACAUCCUCUGACAACCCUAGAGAUAGGGCUUUCCCUUCGGGGACAGAGUGACAGGUGGUGCAUGGUUGUCGUCAGCUCGUGUCGUGAGAUGUUGGGUUAAGUCCCGCAACGAGCGCAACCCUUGAUCUUAGUUGCCAGCAUUUAGUUGGGCACUCUAAGGUGACUGCCGGUGACAAACCGGAGGAAGGUGGGGAU
rnacentral:rRNA from 1 species